CCACUGCUUAUUCCGAGCUCCCAAUUUCAGUCGAGCAUGAACCCACUCAUAGAAAAAUAGGUUUCGUUUACCCUAUUCGAAAAUCCUGUACGUCGUCUUAAAAAAAAACACGGUUAUAAGAUCUCAUAUAAUUAAACUUAACAUUACAUUAUACUUGUGUUUUAUUUUUAAUUUGACGGUAUUGGUCACGGGGUUCGUGUUAUCUUAUAGCAAGGGUCCUCAUUUCCAACAAAUUUGGUUAUU